UCAAUAAAGAAGACACAUUCAGUUGAUUAUAUAUUCACUUCAAAUUGAUAAUUGGAGUUUCAAUAUAACAUUUUAAAGUAUAAACAUUUCAUUUUUUUUUAAAUUCUAGGGUAUAUUUGAGGUAUGGCUGAGUUAUAAUAGCAUAAUGGCUGAUUUAUACUAAUCGAUACGACUAAGUUAUAUAAACAUUUUUCGAUUUUAGGGUAUGGUGGAUAUAUGGCUGAUUUAUUUAAAUGGAUACGUCUG
rnacentral:lncRNA from 1 species